AAAAAUGUUGCAUAAUAUAAUUUGCUAAUAAUUCAGAAAUCCCUUUGGGCUCCUGUGGAACAUCACUCAGUAUCAAUAAAAUCAAUGUGAUCCCUCCAUAAAGCCACAAGGAAUAGUAAAUAAAUAAGCUCAGUGCACAAAGAGAAAUUUCAGGUUGGGCAGGGUGGGUGGUGCCUUCCCAAAACAUGCAAAUAAAGGUCAGGGAAGGAAGCAGCACAGGAAUCAGAUCUUCCAGGUGUGUGGCUGGGGUGAGUUUGCUUGUGAGCCCACAGGUAUGGCUCGUUCAAGGGCAGUGGGGCGCUGUCCAGUCCUGUUUAUCUUGGCCUUUGCCUUUGAUGCAGUGGCCAUUGGCUUGAUUCUGGCAGGCAUCUUUGCCAACCUGGAGAAGAAUGGUAGGAGUUUUGGGGAAUUCCUCAUCUACAGCGGGGGAAUCCUGGUGUUUUUCAGCCUGCUUCUCUGGCUGGCCUGGUACUCUUUCAACCUAGAGGUGUCCAUGGAGGAACUAAUAAGGGACAGCCAGGAACCCCCCAGGAGGAACAAUUUAGUUCAAUUGGCCAGGAAGGUCUCAGAGAGCAUCUCUAAGAGGAGCAAGCGCAAAGUCUUAUCUAGGGAACCCCAGCUUGGAGGACAGCCCUGCAACCCUAACCAAUUUGGAGACCAUAAUGGCUGCCUGGCCACCCCAACCUUCAUCAACAAAGGCUUCACAAAUCAACUGGAUAUCCCUACCCCUAUCCAAGAGGAGAAACCCCUGGAACUGAGCUCCAUCAGCAGCCAAUAUGGCUAUCCAGUGGCUCAAACUACUCAGGGGAUGGCUAUGGACAGACUGGUAUAGGAUGCCACAUGCUCUAAGAUCAGAUAAGCCGGUGCCAAUGUUUUGAUCCCAUUCCAGGAACCUUGCUGGUUACCUGCUUGGCUGCUUAUGUCCCUGCCUUGCCUGGAGACCAGUCCCUUCCCAGAUUUGACUUGGUUGGUCACUGUCUGCCUGUGAUGAAUGGGAUGGAUAAAUAAUUAUGCACAUGGAAUUAAGGGGACAUGGAAUUUCAUAUUUGAUUCACAUAUCUCAUUAUGGUUGGAAUAAACAUUGGUGAUUGUUACGCUGGACAGAUGAUGCACAGUUGAGUCUCCCCUCCUAAUAAGGGAGAAAGUUAAAGGAUAUGACACUUACGUUGCUGCACUGAACUUUGUACUCCCAUAGUGUAGGCAGGUAUUAAUUGUGUCUCUUAUAAAGUGGGGGGGGGGUUCACCCAGAUUGUGUGCACAUUAAAGAAAGGCGGAUAAUUGGAAACUAAGGUUGGGCACUGGUGUCUCUUGCAUACCGAUACUGAUUGUAGGCAUCUAAUGCUUACGAACACAAAAACUGACCAACACACCAUGCAACAUAAAUGCCCCAAAAGCCUGCCCCUUUAAACUGGUGGCUGCCACCACUUGAUGCAGGUGGUGGUUUUAACAUUUACCUCCUUGUAUGGUUAUUCACAAUUCAUAUAAUUAAGCUGUUCAUAAGUAGCCAAUUACCCUAGGGGUGACUAGCCUGUAUUACAUACUAACAUUAUUUCAUUUCACCUUCUUUCCCUGGAGAGAAAAAUCUGCAUGUGGAAGCUGCCAUCUUGCCAAGCCAUUCUCUGUAGAUUUAAGAAGAACUGUUCCCCUGCCAAGGCAAGCAAGAGAAACACAGAGAAUGAAUAUUCUUGGCACUGUACCUGUUAAUGCAGGCAAUGCGAGAUUUAGAACCCACGUAACUGUGCUAUACAGCGUUGAUCAAUUAGAAUGGGCCUCUCUGUAAUAUUUUAGGUUACAUAUAUUUGUGGGUCAGUGCAUGACCAACUUUACUCUUUCUUGAGGUAUGUUGACUACCUACCCCUGCCCCUCCAGAAGUUGUACAUACAGGGUCUCGCUGCCAACAGCUGUUGUGAAUUCUGGGUGUUGUAAUUCAAAAAUUUUAAAAUAUAUUUACAGACCAUUCUACUGAUUGGAAACUAUGCAACAGGAAGGGGCUUUCCGCUAUAGUUUCACCUGUUGCUGAUCUAUUACUUACCAUGGGAGGCUGGGAGUUAUACAAUGGUCUGUCCAUCCUGACAGACGUCUGUAGAGUUGCAUUCAAAUUGGUGUUGUCACUGUGUAUGUAAUUCUGUGCAGAUUAUUUUGUUCUUAAUGUGUAUAUAAAGGAUCAGUUCUAUUUUUAUAAACUGUAACAUUCUAAGGAAUGGCCAUGGCACAAUAAAAA